ACUGGGUAGAUGUUUAAUGUCUUGUAAAAAUCUAAAUGUUUCGGUUUUGCUUGAUGACCAAGGUUAGCUCACAUGUGUUCUUCUGAAUGUGAUCUUUAAGAGUUGGGCAAUACGGGUGCCUGGAAGGACCCCUAAGUUCACAGAGUCUUAAAUUAGUGAUUGGCUAAGGUAACAUGAUGGCUAGAGAAAGAUGGAUGCUGGGCUCUGCUCCCCAUCCCUGCUCACAGCAAGCGGGGACUUCAUUCCGGGCUUUACUGAGACCUCAGCCGAAAGCUUAUACGUGUUCAUCGGAUCAAAUGUGAGUGUGGGGGGAACCACGAGUCAGAAGGUCCGGGCAGAGAUGCGAACAGACACAGUACAGGAAGGUGACUCCCAGAGCAGUGUGUAUAGUAAGAAAUGGGGUGUGUGAGAAGACACAGGCAUCGGUAUUCAGACUUCCAUUGUGAUGUGUAGAGUCAUUUUUUCCAGUGAGCAGCGUUAGAGCGACGUCAUAAUCAACACGCGGAUAGCUACGUGUCUCACACUGCUGGCUACCACACUUGUAGAAGCCACAAGGUCCCAGCGCAGGACAGGCGCUCCACACCACAGAGGCCCGCAGUGUACUCCAGCUGCUCUGGCUGCUUUUCAGAGUAUUCCUCCAUCCAAUCAGAAAGCCGUUGGUCUCUCUCAGAAGAGUCAGGCCAUCAUUGCACCAGUGGGCCCACCUUGCCUGGAAAAUUGGACUCUAGCAGCUAAGAUCUAUAGUCUUCUAACGAUUGGUACUGCAGCUCAGCUAUACAUGAUGAUCAACUUUAGCAAAAGUUUCCCCGUUAUGUCCAUGAAGAUUAACAGAUGAGCCUGAACAAACUUGGGCAUUGAGUCUGCCUGCUGAGGGGACCAAGGGUGUGGACUGCUCAAGUUCCUGCUCACUGAUGUGAUGGCAUUUGGAGUGAGUUCUAGGUGUUGAAGGGAGGGAGGGUGGAUCGAAUCAUCGACUAGAGUUCCAUUCCCCAUGUACUCUUGCCUUGCGUGGUAAGCUCUACCAGGCUCAACCUUUCCUCUUAAUGGCCUCCAGUUGUACCAUCUUUGUCUCAAAGUAGUCCAGAAGUUCUCGGCUUUUCUUUUUGUCUCCCUCAGAGGAAACAGAGAAAGAGGAAGGCGGCUCUUCAGAGGCCUUCAUGGACUGGAGGAUGAUUAGAAGACUACUGGUUGAGGCCUUCACAUGGCCAGUAGUACCUUUGUGUGGUCAGCCUGGGGGUGUUCUUUAGGCCGAACAUCUGGACACACCCAGUCCUUGUGGAGUUUCCCAGAGAGUCAGAGUACAUAGGCCUCCCUCUGACUCCUCCUUAGUGGGCCUCGGACAAGCUCCCACUGAUUUCUUUCUUGUCUUACACACUAGGGGGUUUGGCCCACUGUCUCUCUAAAGACGGGUUUGGUUCUGGGAUGGUAUUCAAAGUAGGCCACAUUUCUUCACAGUGGCUCUGCUUUCUUGCUUUGAUUAAAGAAAGAGCAAAAUGUUCUCCAUUUUAUAAGGCUUUGUGGUGUUAACCUUUCCAGGGCCACAGUACAAGUAGCAAAUAUGAAAAAGGACAUCAAAACCAGCCCUUUAGCCAGACAUGGUGGGGCACACCUGUGAACCAGGAGAAGGACUUUGAGUUCAAGGCCACCCAGGGCUGUAUAAUAAAGCUAUGUCUCAAAAAGUCAAAAAUAACAACAAAAAGAAAUAGCAGUUAAUACUGUCCUGAAUUUUACCCCAACUUGCAAGUAAAUAUAGGCUUCUCUUAACCCCUCUUUCUCUAAACCAGAACUUCUCAGCCUUCCCAACACUGAGUCCCUUUAACACAGCUCAUGGCAUUGUGGUGAUUGCCAAGUAUAAAGUAAAACUCGUUUUGACACUGUUAUGAAUCUGAAUGUAAAUGUAUGAUAUGCAGGAUAUCUGAUAUGUGACCCUCGCAGGGGUCACGGCCCAUAGGUUGAGAAUCAUUGCUUUAAACCCUUCUUCUAGGUGGCAUGUUGGCUGUUCCAGUAGCGUUUGCUCUUUGCAGGCCUUUCUGGAUUGGGAACUUCUGGAGAGUAGAGACAACAAACAAAACAAAAGGGUGAUUUCACCCAUCCUGCUCCUUCCCAGACACAGUAGACAUAGCGGGCAGCAUACGUGUGUGGUCUUCCUCACUCUAAGGAAUUCUCCAUCAGACAUCAGGAUAUCCUCUAAUGUAAUUCAGGCCAGACACUAUCUGUCUGGAGGAGAAACUGUCCAAUCCCACUAGGCAAGGCCUCGGUACUUAAAACUGCCUCCCUUUCAAAUGCCAGUCAAGUAAUGAAUUAUGAGCUGGACUGACCUGCAAUAAAUCAGAUUUCUAAGACCUGUUUGUAGGGUUCAAUUGACUUGGCAGAGCGGUGUCCUGGUUAGGUUUCUACUGUUGUGAUAAAACAC
rnacentral:sRNA from 1 species